rnacentral:miRNA from 1 species
GAGGGAACCGGUGGGGGGCACGGA